rnacentral:lncRNA from 13 species
CCCAAAUAGAGGAAGUCCCUGCCCUGUCCCCCUCCCCCUCCCUGCUCCCGCCAAAUCCGCUCCUUCUGUCAGCUUUGGGAAUCCCAUGCAAGUGUGAUCAUGUGGUGCCUCCUCCCCUAUUUCUGCCUCCUCGGUCUCAGGGAGCUGGGGUCCUUGGCCGAAGGGUUGCUAAGAAGUUAUCACAUGGUUCCACACCUGGUCAACAGAGGGAGGAGUCCCAGAAUCUGCAGCAAUGUGUGCCCCCUUUGUGAGGACUGGAGGGAGGUGAGAACCUUGCUCUCAGAGUGUGACUCAGGUCAACACAGGGAGCCCCUCUGUGUGACAGACACAGUGGGUGGCAGGAUGUGACAAGAGUCCAGGUUCUCAGGGAACAGGGAGACCAAGGGGUCAAGAGCUGUGGAAUACCACAAAGCAGCACUGAAGGAGACCUGUAAGUUGGCCUUUGUUAGAACCUCCAGGGUGUGGUUCUCAGCUGUGGUUCUCAGUGGCCACAUACAUCCUCCCUCUCUCCCCAGGCCUUCGGGUUCCCAUCACUCAACUCCUGCCCACACUCCCACCUG